GUGGGGAAUAUUGGGCAAUGGGCGAAAGCCUGACCCAGCAACGCCGCGUGAGGGAAGAAGGUUUUCGGAUUGUAAACCUCUGUCCUUGGGGACGAAGAAAGUGACGGUACCCAGGGAGGAAGCCCCGGCUAACUACGUGCCAGCAGCCGCGGUAAUACGUAGGGGGCGAGCGUUGUUCGGAAUGACUGGGCGUAAAGGGCGCGUAGGCGGCCGAUUAAGUCUGGAGUGAAAGUCCUGUUUUUAAGGCGGGAAUUGCUUUGGAGACUGGUUGGCUUGAGUGCGGAAGAGGUAAGUGGAAUUCCCAGUGUAGCGGUGAAAUGCGUAGAGAUUGGGAGGAACACCAGUGGCGAAGGCGACUUACUGGGCCGUAACUGACGCUGAAGCGCGAAAGCGUGGGGAGCGAACAGGAUUAGAAACCCGUGUAGUCC
rnacentral:rRNA from 1 species